UCUGAGAUAAAAGCUCAGCUCCAACCUUGCCUUGACUGAUCAGGACUCCUCAGUUCAUCUUCUCACCAUGAGGCUCCCUGCUCAGCUCCUGGGGCUGCUAAUGCUCUGGCUCCCUGGGACCAGUGGGGAUAUUGUGAUGACCCAGACUCCACUCUCCCUGCCCGUCACUCCUGGAGAGCCGGCCUCCAUCUCCUGCAGGUCUAGUCAGAGCCUCCUGCAUAGUAAUGGAUACACCUAUUUAGCUUGGCACCUGCAGAAGCCAGGCCAGUCUCCACAGCUCCUGAUCUAUGGGGUUUCCAACCGGGCCUCUGGAGUCCCAGACAGGUUCAGUGGCAGUGGGUCAGGCACUGAUUUCACACUGAAAAUCAGCAAGGUGGAGGCUGAGGAUGUUGGGGUUUAUUACUGCAUGCAAACUCUACAAGCUCCUCCCACAGUGCUACAUCCUCGAACAGAAACCUCUGUGCUGGGUUGGUCCAGCUGCCCACAUGUGCUGCUUGUCUGGGGAGCAGCUGAGCAGAGUCUCUGAGUCUGCAGAAGAGAAGGCUGUUGGAGACGUCAGGUGGUGUUUGCUGCUGAGGACGCUUCUCCAUGAGAGCCUCAGCAGCACCUCAGAUCCCGCAUGUUAAGGCCCCACCAGCUGCCACAGCCUGGGGAGGGCCUCAGGAGGAGGAGAAUCCAUGGGGGCCACAUGCCCUGGGAGCAACCAGCUAUAAUGAAGGGAGAGUGAAUGAAAACCCACAUCCUCACCCUCCCUGUCUUGCCCACAUUUGUCAAGUUCAUGCAACUGUCAGAGUAACCAGACCAUGGAUGCAGUUUAGCGACAACACAAGUAGAACACACAUGGGAAAUGACCAGCUUGGGGUUUUUUUUCACACACGAUGGCACUUAGUCAUACUGGGAAACUCAUAGUCUCCCGUAUCCCUAAUUCUGCUCUCUGACUCCCACUAAACGCUCCUCUCCAGUGUCUUACAGGAGAAAGCAUUCUACACAAGCUGUGUGCAGGGAACUAUGGCUAAGGACACUGAGUAGAAACGUUUGAUGUUGGAUUAUUCAAAUAGACUUUGUAAACUCAUGGCAGGUGUGAGAUCCAGUGUCAAAAAUUGAUUACUCUUAAUUAUUAUUUGGCAAGUGAAAAGCAAAUUUUCACAAUUCCAAAACUGUCCUUUAGAAAUAACUGCAUAAAGUCGAAGAUAAAAUAUAAAAAGUUUAUUUCAAGUACAAAGGAAAUAUUCAGAAUUAUGUGAGAUUUUUUAUUUCUCUUCCAAAUUCUAAAAAUUUUGAAGGUAUUUAGGCUAAGUUCUACUUUAGAAUAGAAAUUUAUUACUGUGUUUUCAUAGGAAAAGAUUUCAAAGAAUACAGAAAUGCAUUCUUUUCAUGUGAUUACAUCAUUACCUGAAAAUGAAUCUGAAUUCUAUGUUUCAGUUGUAAAUGCAUGGAGCAUCUAUGCUUUUCAUAGAUUUUAUUAAACUUAGUGUUCUAAACGAUAUUGAACCCGAUAAUGAGUCAUAUGAGCUACAUGGCAUAACACCGUGUGAUAGACACAAAAUAAUGACAGAAUCAACAGAAGAAGAUCUGCUCAGGCUAAGGGUAUAAAGUACACUUGGGAAGAUUGUUUAUUCCAAGAUAUCAGAUUCCAUCAUAAGUGCAAUUAAAAUUACAAAGUUCCAUUUCUGUUAGGUUGAAAAAUUGUAUGGCAAAGUUUUUAUAGAUAUCAAUCACAGUGGCACCCUCAGAUAAAAAAAGGUGACACAAUAUGUUUUUAAAAAUACUGAUAAAUGUAUCAUUGAGCUUAAAAGGCAUUAUGCAGAAUGCAGUUAAGGAACACAAAGUGUGGCGGGGUGCAGUGGCUCAUGCCUGUAAUCCCAGCACUUUCAGAGGCCGAGGCAGGUGAAUCCGCUGAAGUCAGGAGUUUAGGACCAGCCUGGUCAACAAGGUGAAACUCUGUCUCUACUAAAAAUACAAAAAUUAGCCAGACGUGGUGGUAUGCGCCUGUAAUUCCAGCUCCUCGGGAGGCUGAGGGAGGAGAAUCACUUGAACCCGGGAGGCAGAGGUUGCAGUGAGCUGAGAUCAUGCCACUUCACUCCAGCCUGGUCAACAGAGUGAGACUCUGUUAAAAACACACACACACACACACACACACACACACACACACACAAAUUGUAAGUAGUAUGACCCAGAACUAAGCAAUGCUAUUGUCAUCUUCAGCCCUUAUGUGAUUGACAGCAUCUAGUGACCUUGAAUUUCUGCUUUGCCAUGAGACACAAGCUUAGUCCCAACCCAUUCAAGAUGGUUAGAUAUAUUUAACAAACACACAAACGACUCAUAUAAUGCUGAUGUAACAAAGGGCUACACUGUGAAAACAAAUGGUGAAAGGUGAACAACCCCCUAAACUGGAAAGAAGAUAUGAGGAGAAUCAAAAUUGGCUGGUACAAAAAAGCCACUAGUUUCAGUUGGCUAAAUGUGACAAGGUUUCUGUGUCUGUUGCCAUGGCAGUGCAGAGACAGGCAGGUGGCCUUGGUGGUGUCGGCGGCUCUGCUCCAUGAGGUCACUCAGGUGGGCGCGAGGCACGACCACCUUCAGCCCACAGCUUCCUCCAUCCUCACAGUCGCUGCCCCCAGACCCAUCCUCAGCAGCAUGAGUGGAACAGAGUGAAGGGAAAGUUGUUCUCUUCUAAAUAUCAAAAAUCUUGAACUUGCAAAUAGAAAUAAAUGUUAUUUUUGCUGCAAGUACACAUUUGAGAAAUCUUCCACUGAGUGGACCUGAUGAUAAACCCACAUAUUUUGUAUGUUUUAACCUGAACAUGUAUUUAUAUGACUCUUGGAAAUAAUUUUUGAGUAUCAAAUUAUAUUUUAGCAGCUUAUUUCAAGUUGUUAUUUACCAUAUCAUAAUUACUCCUAAAACGUCAUGGAUUUUAAAAAAAUCAUGUGUUGCUCUGUCCUCCACUGAAAGUAAUUUCUCUAUUUAACCUCAUCAGACUCCUUUUAAGCUCUUAAACUCAUCUUACUUUUUUACUGAUUUGAUACAUUAAGUCAAUUUAUUAUUUAUGGUAAAUUUAUUUAUGUGUUUAUUUUCCCUAUCACAAGUAGAAAAAGCCUGUAAGUUGCUAUGCCAAAAACCUGCCUCUAGAUGGCAAACAAACCCCACAAUACACAAAAGAGAGCCAAGUUCGUAGAAAACCUGGGAAAGGAAGAGGGCUACUGUCCCAUUAACAACUUGGAGGCCUUAAGGCAAGAAUGAGGUGGAACAUCUGGAACAUCUGGGAGGAGACACCAGGCUGUGGAGUAGUGGGGAACCUGCUCUGUGCUCUGAGACUGAAAGCCCAGCCUUGCCUCUCACCACUGCGUUGACUGUGUCCCCAUCUGCUGUGAAGUGAAUGGUGUCUUCCAAAUUCAUGAUGAGCCCUAAUUGCUGAAAAGUGUAAGACAUGGAAUGGGGGGAUUAUGUGCAUCUUCCCGACACCAACAUGGUGCUCAGGAAGGAGGCUUCUUGUUUUCUCUUAGGAUUCUUUUACUAACCAACAUUUUCCCUCUACUGCACAUUUCCCUUUCCUGAUUGUCCCUCCCUUUUGACAGAAGAUGGCCCAGGGGAUUCACUACUGAGUCUCAACCUCUUACCCAAAGCCCUCAGUCUAGUGUUGCUCUUUUCCUUCAUGCUAUUUUUGUUUGUUUCUUUCCUUGUAAUCAUCUUGGCAAUAAAAUAAUCACUUUUUUCUUUCUA